GACGAACGCUGGCGGCGUGCUUAACACAUGCCAGUCGAACGGUGAAGGGGUCUGCUUUUGUGGGCCCUGGAUGAGUGGCGAACGGGUGAGUAACACGUGAGUAACCUGCCCCCUUCUUCUGGAUAACCGCAUGAAAGUGUGGCUAAUACGGGAUAUUCUGGGUCUGUCGCAUGAUGGGUCUGGGAAAGAUUGCGCCUUUGGGUGUUUUUGGUGGGGGAUGGGCUCGCGGCCUAUCAGCUUGUUGGUGGGGUGAUGGCCUACCAAGGCGGUGACGGGUAGCCGGCCUGAGAGGGUGGAUGGUCACACUGGGACUGAGACACGGCCCAGACUCCUACGGGAGGCAGCAGUGGGGAAUAUUGCACAAUGGGCGCAAGCCUGAUGCAGCGACGCCGCGUGAGGGAUGGAGGCCUUCGGGUUGUAAACCUCUUUCGCCAGUGAAGCAGGCCUGCUCCUUGUGGGUGGGUUGACGGUAGCUGGAUAAGAAGCGCCGGCUAACUACGUG
rnacentral:rRNA from 1 species